UACGUAGGGAGCAAGCGUUGUCCGGAAUCAUUGGGCGUAAAGCGCGCGUAGGCGGCCCUGUAAGUCCGCUGUGAAAGUCAAAGGCUCAACCUUUGAAUGCCGGUGGAUACUGCAGGGCUAGAGUCCGGAAGAGGCAAGUGGAAUUCCUGGUGUAGCGGUGGAAUGCGCAGAUAUCGAGGAGGAACACCAACGGCGAAGGCAGCUUGCUGGGACGGUACUGACGCUGGAGACGGCGAAAGCGUGGGGAGCGAAACAGG
rnacentral:rRNA from 1 species